rnacentral:lncRNA from 1 species
AUUACAUAGCAGAAAUUAGCACUGAGCAUUUCAGAUGCUUCAAAACGAGUUUGCAGUUAUGUAUUUUGGCAGAUCAAGGGGAGAUGUUUUCUUUCAAAUGGAUUAACUCAAAGAAGUAAUUUGUUUUUUACAAUAAGGGUGUUGAGGCAGUGGCACAGGUUGCCCAGAGAGGUGGUGGAUGCCCCAUCCAUGCAGAACCCCGAGGUCAGGCUGGAUGGGGCUCUGAGCACCUGAUGGAGCUGUAGGUGUCCCUGUUCAUUGCAGGGGAGUUGGUCCAGAUGGCCUUUAAGGGUCCCUUCCAACUCAAAAAAUCCUGUGAUUCUAUGAAGUGAGACGCAUCCUACGCCUACAAGAGAGUCCAGAAUGUCAGUGCUGAUUAAAACACACAAUCCAAUAUAUGCUAUUUUAGUAGGAAUAUAAUUACAUGAAGGAAAAUUCAUUUUAGUGUAUUUGAGGAAAUAUAUCCCACACUUUUGUCUCUCUGUUUCACUUUGGUUACUACACACAGAGUUGCCAACACCCACAGAAAGGGCAUCAAGAAUUAGGUACUGAUUGUUCUGUGGUGGUCCAGUUAUUCACUCAAGGAAACCCAUACACUUCUUUCCCUAUGAACUUCAAAAAUUUUCGACAGCUCCCUUCAAGGGCGGUGUCCUGGUUUCAGCAAAAAAAAGCGUUAGGGGCACACAGAGCUUCGGUCGCUGCUGAGCGGCGAGGCCGCACCCUGCGUCAGGCUGGGCCGCUGGGCGGGGCGGAGCCGCCGCCAUGAUGGACAGCAGCGGGGCCGGGGCGGGGCCGGGACUGAGUCCGCAUUGGGCAGGGGCUGUUCCAUACCGCGUGACGUCAGGCGGACGCCAUAAGGCUGUGGGAACGGCAGUGCUUGAUCGGCAGUUGUGGAGGUUGUGGUGUCGCCGUAGCUGUAGCUUUGUUUAUUGUUGUGUAUUCGUUGGUGGACGGAACAGGGAGCGCCUGCGGAGGAUGGCGAGUGCCUGCAGAGCAAGGGAGCACCUGCGGAUGAUGGGAGUACCUGCAGAGAAGAAGGAGGGUUUGCGGAGGACACAGUGCCGUCGGAGAAUACAGGUAGUGCGCCGGCGGAGGUUAGAGGUAGUGCGCUGUCAGAAGAUAGAGGUGGAGCAUCUGUGGAGGAUGGGAGCACUGUCAGAAGACAGAGGUAGUGCGCCGGUAGAGGUUAGAGGUAGUGCACCAUUGGAGGAUAAAGGUGGAGGGUUUGCGGAGGACGGGAACACCUGAGGAGAUGGGGAGUGCCUGCAGAGGACAGGAACGUCGUCAGAGGAUAGUGGUUGUGCGCUGGCAAAGGUUAGAGGUAGUGUGCUAGCAGAGGAAAGAGGUGCAACAGCUGCGGGGGAUGGGAGAGCCAUCAGAAGAUAGAGGUAGUGCGCCAGCAGAGGUUAGAUGUAGUGCGACAUUGGAAGAUAGAGGUGGAGUGUCUGUGGAGAAUGAAAGCACCUGCAGAGAACAGGGAGCGCCAGCAGAGGAUGGGAGCACCGUCAGAAGAUAGAGGUAGCACGCCGGUGGAGGUUAGAUGUAGUGUGCCAUCAGAGAAUAGAGGUGGAGUACCUGCAGAGGACAGGGAGCACCUGUGGGGAACAGGGAGCGCUUGCAGAGGACAGGAGCACCGUCAGAAUAUAGAGGUAGUGCGCCAGCAGAGGUUAGAGGUAGUGCACCAUUGGAGGACAGAGGUGGAUGGUCUGUGGAGGACAGGAGCACCUGAAGAAAACAGGGAGCACCUACGGGGGACGGGAGCUCAGUCAGAAGACAAAGGUAGCACCAGCAGAGAUUAGAGGUAACACACCAGCAGAGGAUAAGAGGUAGCACGCCGGCAAAGGUUAGAGGUAGUGCACUGUCAGACGAUAGAGGUGUAACGUAUGCGGAGAAAAAGAGGACCUGCGGAGAACAAGGAGUGCCAGCAGAUGAUGGGAGCACAAUCAGAAGAUAGAGGUAGCUUGCCGGCAGAGGUUAGAGGUAGUGCACUGUUGGAGGAUCAAAGUAGUGGGUCUGCGGAGAACAGGAGAACCUGCGGAGAACAGGGAGUGACUGCAGAGGACGGGAACACCGGCAGAAAACAGAAUUAGUGCACCGGCAGAGGUUAGAUGUAGUGCGCUGUUGGAGGAUAGAGGUGGAAUGUCUGCGGAGGAAAAGAGCACCUGCAGGGAACUGGAAGUAAUUGCGGAGGACAGGAGUGCCGUCAUAAGACAGAUUUAGUGCACUGGCAGAGGUUAGAUGUAGUGUGCCAUCAGAAGAUAUAGGUGGAGCAUCUGCGGAGGACAGGAGCAUCUGCGGAGAACACAGACGGCCUGCAGAUGAUGGGAGUGUUGUCAGAAGAUAGAGGUAGUGCGCUGGCAGAGGUUAGAUGUAGUGCCCCAUCAGAGGAUCGAGGUGGAGGGUCUAGGGAGGAAGAGAUCACCUGCAGAGAACAUGGAGAGCCUGUGCAGGACGGGAGCGCUGUCGAAAGACAGAGUUAGUGAGCUGGCAGAGUUUAGAUGCAGUGUGCCAUCACGGGAUAGAGGUGAAGAGUCUGCGGAGGACGGGAGCACCUGUGAAGAACAAAGAGUGCCUGCAGAUGACGGGAGCGCGAACAGAAGAUAGAGGUAGCACACUGGCAGUGGUUACAGGUAGUGCGCUGUCACAGGAUCGAAGUGCAAGGUCUGGGGAGGAUGGGAAUAUCUGUGGAGAUCAAGGAGUGCCUGCAGAUGAUGGAAGCAUGAUCUGAAGAUAGAGGUAGCUUGCAGGCAGAGGUUAGAGGUAGUGUGCUGUUGGAGGAUUGAGGUGGAGGGUCUGCAGAGGACGGGAGCACCUGCGGCAAGCAGGGACUGACUGCGGAGAACGGGAGUGCUGUCAGAAGGAAUAGCUAGUGAACCGGCAGAGGUUAGAGGUAGUGUGCCUUGAGAGGAUAUAGGUGGAACAUCUGCCGAGAAUGGGAGCACGUGUAGAGAACACAGAGCGCCAGCAGAUGAUGGGAGCGUUGUAAGAAGAUAGAGGUAGUGCGCCAGCAGAGGUUAGAGGUAGUGUGCCAUCAGAGGAUCGAGGUGGAGGGUCUGGGGUGGAUGGGAGCACCUGCAGCCAACAGGGAGCACCUGUGGAGGACAGGAGUGCUGUCAGAAGGCAUAGUUAGUGCACCAGCAGAGGUUAGAGGUAGUGUGCCAUCAGAGGAUAUAGGUGGAGGGUCUGCGGAGUAUCGGACCACCUGAGGACAACAGGGAGCACCUGCGGAGGAUGGGAGCGCUGUCAGAAGACAUAGUUAGUGCGCCGGCAGAGGUUAGAGGUAGUGUGCCUUCAGAGGACAUAGGUAGAGCACCUGUGGAGGAUGGGGGUACCUGCAGAGAACACAGAACACCUGGAGAUGAUGGGAGCACUGUCGGAAUGCGUAGUUAGUGCACCAGCAGAGGUUAGAUGUAGUGCAUCAUCAGAGGAUAUAGGUGGAGCAUCGGCAGAGGACGGGAAAACCUACAGAGAUCAAGGAGUGCCUGCAGAUGACAGGAGUGUUGUCAGAAGACAGAGGUAGCGCGCCGGCAGAGGUUAGAGGUAGUGCGCUGUCGGAGAAUCGAGGUGGAGCGUCUGGGGAGGACGGGAGCAUUUGCGGAGAACAGGGAGCACGUGCGGAGGAUGGGAGUGCUGUCAGAAGGUAUAGUUAGUGCGCCAGCAGAGGUUAGAUGUAGUGCGCUGUCGGAGGAUCUAGGUGGAGCGUCUGGGGAGGACAGGAGCACCUGCGGGGAACAGAGACUGCUUGCAGAUGAUGGGAGCGUGGUUAGAAGAUAGAGGUAGUGCGCCAGCAGAGGUUAGAGACAGAGUGACAUCAGAGGAUCGAGGUGGAGAGUCUGCGGUGGAUGGGAGCACCUGCCACCAACAGGGAGCACCCGUGGAGGACAGGAGUGCUUUCAGAAGGCAUAGUUAGUGCGCUGGCAGAGGUUAGAUGUAGUGUGACUUCAGAGGAUGUAGAUGGAGCAUCUGUGGAGGACGGGAGCACCUGCAGAGAACACAGAGCGCUGGCAGAUGAUGGCAGCGUUGUCAGAAGAUAGAGGUAGUGCGCCAGCAGAGGUUAGAGGUAGUGUGCCAUCAGAGGAUAGAGGUAGAGCACCUGUGGAGGAUGGGGGUACCUGCAGAGGACACAGAACACCUGCAGAUGAUGGGAGCACUGUCGGAAUGCAUAGUUAGUGCACCAGCAGAGGUUAGAGGUACUGCGCUGUCAGAGGAUAGAGCUAGAACUUCUGCAGAGGAUAGGAGCACCUGCAGAGAAGAGGAAGCGAUUGCCAAGGAUGGGAGCACCAUCAGAAGACAGAGUUAGUGCGCUGGCCGAGGUUAGAUGUAGUGCAUCAUCAGAGGAUAUAGGUGGAGCAUCGGCAGAGGACGGGAACACCUACAGAGAUCAAGGAGUGCCUGCAGAUGACGGGAGUGUUGUCAGAAGAUAGAGGUAGUGUGCCGGCAGAGGUCAGAGGUAGUGCGCUGUCGGAGGAUCGAGGUGGAGCGUCUGGGGAGGAUGGGAGCAUUUGUGGAGAACAGGGAGCAGCUGUGGAGGACAGGAGUGCUGUCAGAAGUCAGUUAGUGCGCCAGCAGAGGUUAGAUGUAGUGUGCCUUCAGAGGAUAUAGGUGGAGCAUCUGCGGAGGAUAGGAGCACCUGUGGAGAACAGGAAGCGAUUGCCAAGGACAGCAGCACCAUCAGAAGACAGAGUUAGUGCGCCAGCAGAGGUUAGAUGUAGUGCAUCAUCAGAGGAUCGAGUUGGAGCGUCUGCGGAGAACAAGAGCAUCUGCGGAGAACACAGACGGCAUGCAGAUGAUGGGAGCGUGGUUAGAAGAUAGAGGUAGUGUGCCAGCAGAGGUUAGAGGUAGUGUGCCAUUAGAGGAUCAAGGUGGAGGGUCUGCCUAGGAUUGGAGUACCUCAGGAGAACAGGGAGCACCUGCGGAGGACAGGAGCGCUGUCGGAAGGCAUAGUUAGUGCGUCAGCAGAGGUUAGAUGUAGUGUGCCUUCAGAAAAUAGAGGUGGAGCAUCUGUGGAGGAUAGGAGCACCU